rnacentral:rRNA from 1 species
UGGCUCAGAACGAACGUUCGCGGCGCGCCUAACACAUGCAAGUCGAACGAGAAAGUCCUUCGGGAUGAGUAAAGUGGCGUACGGGUGAGUAACACGUGGGUAUCUAUCUAUUGGUGGGGGGACAACAUUCUGAAAAGAGUGCUAAUACCGCAUAAGUCCGGCAACGGGGAAAGGUGGCGUAAGUUAUCGCCGAUAGAUGAGCCCGCGUCCCAUCAGCUUGUUGGUAGGGUAACGGCCUACCAAGGCUACGACGGGUAGCUGGUCUGAGAGGAUGAUCAGCCACACUGGAACUGAGACACGGUCCAGACUCCUACGGGAGGCAGCAGUGGGGAAUAUUGCGCAAUGGGCGAAAGCCUGACGCAGCGACGCCCGCGUGGGUGAUGAAGGUCUUCGGAUCGUAAAGCCCUAUCGGAGAGGAAAGAACAACUUGUAGUAACGUACAAGCCUGACGGUACCUUUCCAGAAAGCACCGGCUAACUCCGUGCCAGCCGCCGC